rnacentral:rRNA from 1 species
GACGAACGCUGGCGGCGUGCUUAACACAUGCAAGUCGAGCGAGGCCCAUCUUCGGGUGGUGCCCUAGCGGCGAACGGGUGAGUAAUACGUGGGCAACCUGCCCUCAGCUCUGGGAUAACUCCAAGAAAUUGGUGCUAAUACCGGAUGUGACCGCUGACCGCAUGGUCUGGUGGGGGAAAGAUUGAUCGGCUGAGGAUGGGCCCGCGGCCUAGCAGCUUGGUGGUGGGGUAAUGGCCCACCAAGGCGACGACGGGUAGCCGGCCUGAGAGGGUGACCGGCCACACUGGGACUGAGACACGGCCCAGACUCCUACGGGAGGCAGCAGUGGGGAAUAUUGCGCAAUGGGCGAAAGCCUGACGCAGCGACGCCGCGUGAGGGAUGACGGCCUUCGGGUUGUAAACCUCUUUCAGUAGGGACGAAGCGCAAGUGACGGUACCUACAGAAGAAGCACCGGCCAACUACGUGCCAGCCGCCGCCGUAAUAC